CCCUUAGAUGUUCUGGGCCGCACGCGUGCUACACUGAGUGGAUCAGCGGGUCAGGUUGCGCGAAAGCGUUUCCUAAUCUUUAAAUCCGCUCGUGAUGGGGAUUGACGGUUGCAAUUUUCUGUCAUGAACGAGGAAUACCUUGUAAGCGCGGGUCAUCAUCCCGCGCUGAAUACGUCCCUGCCCUUUGUACACACCGCCCGUCGCUCCUACCGAUUGAAUGGUCCGGUGAAGCGUUCGGACCGUGGCCUUUGGACGGUUCGCCGUCUGUUGGCUGCGGGAAGUUCGUUAAACCUUAUCAUUUAGAGGAAGGAGAAGUCGUAACA
rnacentral:rRNA from 1 species